rnacentral:rRNA from 1 species
UUGAACGCUGGCGGCAUGCUUUACACAUGCAAGUCGAACGGCAGCGCGGGGCAACCUGGCGGCGAGUGGCGAACGGGUGAGUAAUAUAUCGGAACGUACCCAAGGGUGGGGGAUAACGUAGCGAAAGUUACGCUAAUACCGCAUACGAUCUAUGGAUGAAAGUGGGGGAUCGCAAGACCUCAUGCUCCUGGAGCGGCCGAUAUCUGAUUAGCUAGUUGGUGAGGUAAAGGCUCACCAAGGCGACGAUCAGUAGCUG